rnacentral:rRNA from 1 species
UACAACAGAUAUAAUCUACUUGUUCUUUUCAAUCUAAACGGAUAACUGCGGUAAUUCUGGAGCCAAUACGUGACUAAAAGCAGUGGCCUUCGGGUCGCUGUGCUAUUAUUGGAGCAAAACUAUUCGUUAGUCCUUUUGCUAACUCUGGAUAAUACUGCGUAUCGCAUGACCUCGUGUCGGCGAAGUUUCAUUCGAGUAUCUGCCCUAUCAACUUGCUGGCAGUGUAUUGGACUGCCAUGGUUCUAACGGGUAACGGAGGAUCAGGGUCUGACUCCGGAGAGGGAGCCUUAGAAACGGCUACCAUGUCUAAGGAUAGCAGCAGGCGCGAAAAUUACCCAAUAUCAAUACGAUGAGGUAGUGACGAGAAAUAACGAGUCCGUUCUCUCUGAGGUCGGACAUUGGAAUGGGUACAAUCUAGACAAUUUAACGAGUAUCUACGAGAGGGCAAGUCUGGUGCCAGCAGCCGCGGUAAUUCCAGCUCUCGUAAUACAUAGAAUUAUUGUUGCGGUUAAAAAGUUCGUAGUUGAUCAGCGAACCGUUCGGGGUGCAUCCUAACGGGUGUCACUCGUCGGACGGUAUUUUGCGCGUUUGUGUGCGGUCGUCUUCGGAUGGCUCGUAUGCUGCGUGCAGGAUUACUUUGAACGGCUUAAGUGCUCAAGGCGGGUCUUAGGACCGAAUACCGGUGCAUGGAAUAAUGGAACAAGGUUGCGGCCGAGUUUUAUUGGUUUUGUCGGCUGAAACAAUGGUUAACAGGAACAGCCGGGGGCAUUCGUAUCGCUGCGCGAGAGGUGAAAUUCGGGGACCGUAGCGAGACGCACUAAAGCGAAGCAUUUGCCAAGAGUGUUUUCAUUAAU